UACGAAGGGUGCAAACGUUGCUCGGAAUUAUUGGGCGUAAAGCGCACGUAGGCGGCUUUGCAAGUCGGAUGUGAAAUCCCUCGGCUCAACCAAGGAAGUGCAUCCGAAACUGCAGAGCUUGAGUAUUUAAGAGGAUCGCGGAAUUCCCGGUGUAGAGGUGAAAUUCGUAGAUAUUCGCAAGAACACCAGUGGCGAAGGCGGCUCACUGGCCCGAUACUGACGCUGAGGCACGAAAGCGUGGGGAGCAAACAGG
rnacentral:rRNA from 1 species